rnacentral:rRNA from 1 species
UACGGAGGAUCCGAGCGUUAUCCGGAUUUAUUGGGUUUAAAGGGUGCGUAGGCGGCCUUGUAAGUCAGGGGUGAAAGACGGUAGCUUAACUAUCGCAGUGCCUUUGAUACUGCAGGGCUUGAAUGUACUUGAGGUAGGCGGAAUGUGACAAGUAGCGGUGAAAUGCAUAGAUAUGUCACAGAACACCAAUUGCGAAGGCAGCUUACUAAAGUAUGAUUGACGCUGAGGCACGAAAGCGUGGGGAGCAAACAGG